rnacentral:rRNA from 1 species
UACGAAGGGGGCUAGCGUUGCUCGGAAUUACUGGGCGUAAAGGGCUCGUAGGCGGCCAACUAAGUCAGACGUGAAAUCCCUCAGCUUAACUGGGGAACUGCGUCUGAUACUGGAUGGCUUGGAUUCGGGAGAGGAAUGCGGAAUUCCAGGUGUAGCGGUGAAAUGCGUAGAUAUCUGGAGGAACACCGGUGGCGAAGGCGGCAUUCUGGACCGACAUUGACGCUGAGGAGCGAAAGCCAGGGGAGCAAACGGG